rnacentral:rRNA from 1 species
UACGAAGGGAGCUAGCGUUGUUCGGAAUCACUGGGCGUAAAGCGCACGUAGGCGGAUGUGUCAGUCAGGGGUGAAAUCCCGGAGCUCAACUUCGGAACUGCCUCUGAUACAGCACGUCUUGAGUUCGAGAGAGGUGGGUGGAAUUCCCGGUGUAGCGGUGAAAUGCGCAGAUAUCGGGAAGAACACCCGUGGCUAAGGCGGCUCUCUAGUACGGUACUGACGCUGAGACGCGAAAGCGUGGGGAGCGAACAGG